CCUACGGGAGGCAGCAGUAGGGAAUAUUGCUCAAUGGGGGAAACCCUGAAGCAGCAACGCCGCGUGGAGGAUGAAGGUUUUCGGAGUGUAAACUCCUUUUGUUAAAGAAGAUAAUGACGGUAUCUAACGAAUAAGCACCGGGUAACUCCGUGCCAGCAGCCGCGGUAAUACGGAGGGUGCAAGCGUUACUCGGAAUAACUGGGCGUAAAGAGCGCGUAGGCGGGAUAGCAAGUCAGAUGUGAAAUCUUAUGGCUUAACCAUAGAACUGCAUUUGAAACUGUUAUUCUAGAGUACAGGAGAGGUAGGUGGAAUUCGUGGUGUAGGGGUGAAAUGCGUAGAGAUCACGAGGAAUACUCAUUGCGAAGGCGACCUGCUAGAACGUAACUGACGCUGAUGCGCGAAAGCGUGGGUAGCAAACAGGAUUAGAUACCCGUGUAGUC
rnacentral:rRNA from 1 species